CCUAUGGGAGGCAGCAGUGGGGAAUAUUGGACAAUGGGGGGAACCCUGAUCCAGCGACGCCGCGUGAGUGAAGAAGUAUUUCGGUAUGUAAAGCUCUAUCAGCAGGGAAGAAAAUGACGGUACCUGACUAAGAAGCCCCGGCUAACUACGUGCCAGCAGCCGCGGUAAUACGUAGGGGGCAAGCGUUAUCCGGAUUUAUUGGGUUUAAAGGGUGCGUAGGCGGGCUGUUAAGUCAGCGGUCAAAUGUCGGGGCUCAACCCCGGCCUGCCGUUGAAACUGGCGGCCUCGAGUGGGCGAGAAGUAUG
rnacentral:rRNA from 1 species